ensembl:lncRNA
GUGAAUCCCAAGCAGGUUCAGUGCUGUCGGCACAGAGCCCAACAGGGGCUCAGUCCCACCACAGUGAGAUCAUGACGUGAGCAGAAUUGGUGACUGAUCUGACUGAGCCACCCAAGGCACCCCUCCUUCAAGUGAUUUCCUGAGUUUGAGCCACGAGAAUGGUUCUGAGACACUGAUUUGGGGUCACUCAGAUUGUUUAUACAGAGCCCCACCUUCCUACACCCACUCACACACUUUUAAGGGCUAUGUUUAAAGUUGAGGAAACUCACGGCGACCACUCCCGGGCGCUGCCCGGCUCCUGUUUGUUGCCAGAUGGGUCUGGGAUCCCGGGCUCAGGAAAUGAGAAGUCAUGUGAUAUCCAGGUCACCAAUCAGAAGCGAAGAUUCCACCAGGACCCGCCCACUUUCCUUACUCCUCUAGUCCCGGCUCUACUUGAGGUAGUGUUUGCCGCCGCGUUCCCGUUUCAGAGAGACUAGCAUUUGGGCCUCCGGGUCAUACUAGGAGGAGGAGGAGGAGAAGAGAAGCAGCAGCAGUUUGAAUCCUUGCAGGGUGACGUAGCCAGAGGGAGCGCUUAAGAAGGAGGUCGCCUUUAGCACCUCGGGUGCCGGCAAGACUGGCAACCCAGAUCUUGCUGCAGAGAUUCUCCGUGUCUCCAGCGACCCAGCACCACUGAGCUCCCCAGCGUUACGAAAGCUUCCACUGAAGCCUCCAUUUCCAUGACUUGCUCGGCAUAAACUGUGCCUGCAAUGAGGCGUUCUGACCUCGCAGGCUGCCAGAGUUGCCGUUCAGACCUUAUACCUGUGGUGGCCGAGAAGGGCGAGAGUCAAGACCAUGCACCCGGGCAGCUAGCUGUCACAGGAAAAUCCACAAGGGGCAUUGGCCUGGUCAGUGGAUGAGCUCAGAUCGAGGCUUGGAAAAAACAUGCCAAAAAGCCGCUCCAAUAGGAAGAGCCUGCCUAGACACCCACCUCUCUGGGGGACUGUCUGUUUUCUGGAGCUUUCGGGACUCAGAUUUCUGAGCCUUUGCUGCCAUCUUCUCCAAAACCUUAGCCCAGCAGCAGACGACAUUCUCAGGCUUCUGUCUGGAGUCCAACAUCAUGCCCAGGCCCUGCGCUUCAGGGCCACGGAUCCCUGCCAGGCCCUGCCCGUGGAAGCCGCACCCCUUAGGCUCUGCAUUUGGCAGCCGCCCAGCAAAACCAAACCCCGCCUGUGGAAGCCAGGCAUCCCCGCCAGACCCAGCUCUUCUCAGCCACGAACACACUCCAGGCCUGAUUCUCCCGAGCCAUGCCACACAGAUACCACCAGUUCACACUACUGUGCAAUUUGCAGAGGAAUUUGGAUAAGAAGAACCAUCGAAGAUUGGGAACCUACUGGGAAACCUAGAACUUCCCAGGUAAGUUUCGUUCAUUUAUAUAUUCACCCUACAAACAUUUGUUAAGUAUUUCUAUGUACCAGGAACUGUUAGAGGUAUUGGUGAUUCACAGUUUUAAUACUCUUUGAAAAGUCUCUAUUGCAGGUAAGGAGUUAGAUGUUAAUAAAGAACUCAAUGCUUCUGUCA